rnacentral:rRNA from 1 species
CGAUAACGCGCUGCACGCGACGGCGGGAAUACGGAGGAUCCAGGUGGUAGCCGGAUUGAUUGGGUGUAAAGGGUGCGUAGGCGGCCUGAGAAGUCAGGGGUGAAAGACGGUAGCUCAACUAUCGCAGUGCCCUUGAUACUGCCGGGCUUGAAUGGACUAGCGGUAGGCGGAAUGAGACAAGGAGCGGUGAAAUGCAUAGAUAUGUCUCAGAACACCGAUUGCGAAGGCAGCUUACUAUGGUCUUAUUGACGCUGAGGCACGAAAGCGUGGGGAUCAAACAGGAUUAGAUACCCUGGUAGUC